GUUUGCUACCAACUAGGUGGGUUUGGCUAUGGAGCUUGUCUAGUGCCCUCUGUUGGUAGCAACAGCAAUAUGCACUACCUGAAUAGCAAGACUGGUUCAUUUGCAUAUUCGGGUAGAUUUGCAUAUUGCUAAUUCUGCAGACACAUGAGAUAUUUUCUGUUAAAUAUUGUCUCCCCCACCCCUUUAAAAAUGUGCCAUUGUGUUGUGAUAAGUCACUGUGUGUUGCCU